GUCCUCAGCUUGUGAGGUGGUGCCCGUCGAGCUUAUUGAGUCUUCGGGUUUUGAUGUAGCGGAAGGUCACACAUGGUACUUCUUCAGAUUGUAGGCCAUCCAUUUCUUUUCAAUCUUUUUGCCGCUUCAUGGUGGUGAGGGUGUAAUUACUUUUGCCCCCUACUCUGCUGAUCUUGUACGGACCUUCCCAGAUGGGAUCCAUCUUUUUGGAGCCUUCUCUGCCGGCAGUGAUGAAGGCUUUUUUGCGUCGUCGACAUGCAAAUGCCAGAAGUCUCCAUCGGGUGGAGUAGGCGCAGCUAGAGUGUGCUCGGCUACUUCUGAGGCAUUGUUGGGCCGCUCUAUUGCGUCACCUAGGCUCGGCGUGAAGACGCAGUAGGGAGCUGUGG
rnacentral:lncRNA from 1 species